CGUUGUACGUCACCCCCGUGGGCGCCUGGGAAACAUCCGGUGAGCGUCUCUAUUAUGACGGGCUCUAAGUGAGUGCGGCGGCAGGCUUGGAUCUGGUCACUGCUGCUGCAGGUGCUCUUUGAGGAUGUGACGCAGGGGCCAUUGGCCCCCGAUGGGAGAGCAGAUGAGGCGGAGAUAACCAGCUCAAGGCUGAGAAAGAAAUUUAUAAAACUCCUGGACCCUGACCCAAAUCCCACCUGGCGCCAUAUUUGCUCAACUUGGACCUGAAGCAGUUCGAUGUGUUCCUGCCAUUGUCAUCUUUAAAGAACAUCUGUUCUCUACAGUCGGUGUCUGGAACGACUCGUUAUUUCAUCUGCGGUGAAUCAUAGGACUCUGCAGGACCGAGUGCCCCACAAGCUCCUACUGAAC